CAUAGAUAAAAUCGUAAACGUAACCAUGUAAACAAAUGUAACAGUAAAUUAUGCAAGGAUUAUUUACUAAUUCCCUAUGGUAUAUCGAGUUCUUCGUAUUUGCUAUAGUAUUAAUUGGUUUUUUCAUAUUGUUUUUGUAUAUGGCUAACACAAAUUACGUUCAAUAUAAUGUUAGAUACGAUAUGAGACAAAAAUACAUGGCUGAUGGUACUUGGCUGCUUCAAGCAUAGCAUUAUGAGAAAAGUAGAUGGCAAAAUACAGAUAAUUGUGUAAUUUUUUUUCACACGUAGUAAAACUUUAAGAUUGUAGGUUUUAAAAGGUUACAAAUGCGGUUCCUACUUUUAUGGGAGUUAAGGACGUCCAGAAAAAGAAAGAAAUACAGGAGGAUAUUUCUCGUUCCUGCACACUCCCGUUAAAUAUAAUUUCCAGUCACAAUUUUAAGUCACCAGAAAAUGGGAAGGAGAAGACUAGAAUUUUGUCUCCUUUAUAAUAUUUCCAGCUACCAAAGUAUCGCGAGCGACAAAUGUAAAUGCAAGCCGCCUGAGCCGGACCAGCGGCCGGUGUGCGUCGACAUGGGCUGCAUUUGGUUCUGCCGGCUCAUCGGAAGCAUCGUCACCAUUGCCGUUUGCUACUACUUCGCCUACGCUCUGAUAUCAGAUACCAAACUCAAGUUUGGACUCUUUGUUCCACCGUAAAUCAUAAAUAAAACAAAUGAGAAUCUCCAGUAAAACAGUUUCUUA